rnacentral:tmRNA from 2 species
GGGGAUGAUCGGCCUAGACAAGAAGAAUAUUUGGUUUGAUGCGCAAGAGAGCUGGAGCGACUCUCUAAUCCACUUCAAAACUUAAAUGCAAAAUCAACUUUUGCAAAAAUUGUUUCGCCGUACUUUACGGCAAAUGAUUUUCAGUUUGCCUACGCUCGAGCUUAAGCUCGCUUAGCCUACUGCGCGGACCGCUGUGAUGUCUCAUAGCAGAGUCUCCGUGUAAUCUUAUGAGACCCUGAAGCAGGAUUUUCUCGACCCGCUUCGAAACUUAGAGAAUAGAGAUAUAAGGGCUUUGGUUUGCUCUCUACCUUAUAUCUUGAUCCGCCAUUCGCCAACUGGCGAAGGCGAAAAAUGAAGCAAACUACCUUGCGUAGACUUCAUGCCAAUCUCUUCUUGCACGGCGGUUCGAUUCCGCCCAUCUCCACUC